UAGCAGAGACCGAGCUCCGCCCGCGGCCCCUGAUUGGACCGCGGGCCGGUAUCCCGCGCGCGGAUUGGCUGGCCGCUUCCCCUGAGCGAACCUUUAGAACUCCGAGGCACAAUAUUCUGUUACAUUGUAGCAAAAUGGCGACUGUCAUUCACAACCCCCUGAAAGCACUUGGGGACCAGUUCUACAAAGAAGCCAUCGAACACUGCCGCAGCUACAACUCCCGGCUCUGUGCUGAGCGCAGCGUCCGCCUUCCCUUCCUGGAUUCACAGACUGGGGUGGCUCAGAACAAUUGCUAUAUUUGGAUGGAGAAGAGGCACCGGGGACCAGGCCUGGCUCCGGGUCAGCUGUACACGUAUCCUGCUCGCUGCUGGCGCAAAAAGAGACGCCUACACCCUCCAGAGGAUUCCAGGCUGAAGCUGCUGGAAAUUAAGCCUGAAGUUGAUCUGCCUCUCAAGAAGGAUGGGUUCACAUCAGAGGGGACCACGCUGGAGGCCCUGCUGCGUGGUGAAGGGAUUGAGAAAAAAAUGGAUACUAAAGAAGAAGACACUAUACAGGAAAUCCAGAGGGUUCUGGAAAAUGAUGAAAAUGCAGAUGAAGUAAAUGAGGAAGAAGAUUUGGAAGAAGAUAUUCCAAAACGAAAGAACAGAGCCAGAGGAAGGGCUCGCGGAUCUGGAGGCGGAAGAAGAAGGAAUGAUGCUGCCUCCCAGGAUGACCAUGACAAACCAUAUGUUUGUGACAUCUGUGGCAAGCGUUACAAGAAUAGGCCUGGACUGAGCUACCAUUAUGCUCACACUCACCUAGCCAGUGAAGAGGGAGAUGAAGCUCGGGAGCAGGAGACACGUUCCUCACCUGUGCACAGAAAUGAAAAUCACAAACCCCAGAAAGGACCAGAUGGGGCCAUCAUUCCCAAUAACUACUGUGACUUCUGCCUUGGCGGCUCCAACAUGAACAAAAAAAGUGGCCGGCCAGAGGAGCUCGUGUCAUGCUCAGACUGUGGGCGCUCUGGACACCCAACCUGCCUGCAGUUCACCACAAACAUGACUGAGGCUGUCAAAACCUAUCAGUGGCAAUGCAUUGAGUGUAAAUCCUGCAGCCUUUGUGGGACCUCUGAGAAUGAUGACCAGCUGCUCUUCUGUGAUGACUGUGACCGUGGCUAUCAUAUGUACUGUUUAAACCCACCUGUCUUUGAGCCCCCAGAAGGGAGCUGGAGUUGUCAUUUGUGCCGGGAGCUACUCAGAGAGAGAGCAUCAGCUUUUGGCUUCCAGGCCUGAGGGGUUCCAUCAAUCAAGCUGCAGUUUGCUCUUUGACUUGUGGUACCAGCACACAUUUUCUGUCCAGAACACAAGACACAACACACAUCAAAGAGAAUGGACACUCAAACAUAAGAAGAGUCCCUUUGGAAAGAACAAACUGCUAAUGGAAAUGGUGGUUUCUGCCUCUCUGAAGCCUUCAGCUCAUGACUAGAUACAUCUCUGGAAGACAAGUUUUAAUCAAAUCAAGGAAGAAGAAUUGUUUUCAAAAAGGGCGUGGGCCAAGCAAAGGCAGGUGGCUGGACAAUAUUGAGAAAGGACAUUCAUCCCUUAUCCCAGCAUCUGAGAGAGAAAAGGUUCUCUUUCUUCUGCACCACUCUGCAUGAUAAACUGAACUGAGGUGAAAGAGAUUUUAGUUUGAAUUAGUCAAAAAGUAAAAGUAGAAAGGGGUAUUCUGUCACUGUUUACUCUUGUGGUUUUUUAAAUGGAAGUUCUUACCCUUUUUCAAACUUGUAAUGCCCUUUUCCAUAGUAGGACCAUCCUAGGGGACCCCACAUUAUUCCUCUCACAUUAAACAACAUGAAAUAUGAAGACGGUCAGAGGUCUAUUCCCAGGUUGAGAAACCCUGAUCAUUUUUACUGUGCAUGUAUACAUUUCAAAGUGAAAUUAUUGGAACAUGGUGACUCUACUGAAAUCUCUCUUAAUGUGUUAACUGUGGUGCCAAGCUAAAAUGGGUGAAAGAAGACAAAGAUCCAUAAUUUUAAUGAAGAAAGACAAUUUAGGUCAUCCUGAAAAAGGGAUGGGCCCGAGGAAGCUUUCUAACUUUCGGCACUUUGGUGACACCCCAUUUUCUAGAACCUCUUCUCCAAAAGUAGUUGUACAGGCUUCAGUAGCAGAAGAUGUUUUUUUCUUUUGCUCCCCUACUUCAAACUGGAAAUGUUUGUUGAUAUACAUUUGGAUUUUGUGGAUAUGUAGGGGAGUCGAUGGGGUGGCUAGGCCCUGGGACUUCUUACUAAGAUAAUCUAAUGCCAGUCAAGAUACCCUAUGGGGGAAUCUUGGCCUGGUAGCAAUUGAAAGUCCCCAGAGCUUUUGGUUUUCAAGGGAAAGGUGAUGCAGAGGGAACGACUGUUUUUCACGAAGCUUUGUCAGAAAAAUACUACAGCCUCAGAUUAAGUUUCUUGUCCUGUCAAUCCCCAGCUAAAUGCAGAAUGCCAUGUAGAGGGAGGGGGAUAUGUCCCACAUGGAUGGAGCAAGUGAAAAUAUGAUGGAACCACACAUUCCAAGUCACUAUUUUAGGGAAAAGGGCUGCUUGUACAUGCCAUGGGGGUUUACUUUGGUUUAAUUCUCUCUAAAUUGUAGUGGUGGAUUUUUAAAAACACUGUGUCAAUUUAGGGAGAAUUAAACUGAAGUAAACCCCUGUGGCAUAUAUACAAGGGUCAGAUCCGAUCCUUACUUGCCUCUCCAGUGGCCAGUGGUGGCGGGGGGGGAGGGGGCAGCUGCCAGUGGGCCAAGCAGUCCUGGAGCUGGAGGGGGGAUGGUGCUUCCCCCCAUGGCGGAGCCCCCCAGGUGCUACCUGCCCACGGGCACCCAGUCUGGGCAGUCCUGGGGGCACUGCAGCCAUGGAGGGAAGCACUGCCCCCCCCCGCAGCUAUGGAGGGAAGCACUGGGCCCCCAUGCAGCUUAGGCAGGCAGGCUCCAGGGAGGAAAAAAAAAAAGAUCAAGAUUGCCACUUCUUUUUUUUCCUUCAGUGGAGCCUGCCUGCACAGGCUGCUGUUGGGCUGCCUGCACAACCCCUGAACUGCAUGGGGCUUUGUGCUUCCCUCCAUGGCUAAGGUAGGUGGUGUUUUAUUUUGCUACACCCCAAAGUCAUUUAAUGUGCAAUAUGCCGGUGACAGUGUAAACAGCCACACCAGUAAAGCAUUUAAGCUGCUUUAAAGGCCAAUUUUGUGGUGUGUACAAAAGCCCCAAAACUCUCCCUUGGCAUAUGCUUUGGUGGUAGGUUACAUGGGACUAUAGAACCUUGGGAACCCUACAUUUUAGAUUCCUCUCCCUUUUGUUACAAGUGUAUUGAAAGAUGUUCAUAUCUCCAAGAGUAGAAAAAAAAUAUCAAUUUGUUAGUUCCCUCUAAUUUCUUUCCUUUUUCAGCUAUACACACUACCUCCUAGUUGUCUGUUGCUGGCCUGUGUGGGGCCUAAUUGGAGUUUACAGAAUACUGCGUGCAUCUAAGUGUGCUGCCAGGAUUGCAUAGUAACGGUGGGUACUGCACGGUCAUUUAGUACUUGCUUUAGCAAGUACUAAAUGACCGUGCAGUACCAACUGCGCAGUGGGGUGCAUGUGUAGAUGUGCUCACAGUAUAGUAUUGGAUUUACUCUGGCAGCUAGGGAUUACAGGUGAGGGAAGCAGUGCAUUUUUGUAAGAAUAGCUGUUUAUGUUAUUUUCUCUACUUUCCCCUAAAAAUUGUGGGCCUUUUUUAAAAACUCUGAAGUGACUGUAUUGUUACACUAUAUGUGUAUGUGUAUGGUUUUGUUUUGAUCUGACCUGCCUGGAAAUGCCCUUUGAUCCUCCAUCCCAGUUUUCUAAUGUGAAAAGCCCUGAUGUCUUUUGGGGGGG